GACGAAGGAUGCAAGCGUUAUCCGGAUUCAUUGGGUUUAAAGGGAGCGUAGGUGGCCUUGUAAGUCAGUGGUGAAAUCUCUCGGCUUAACUGAGAAAUUGCCAUUGAUACUGCAGGGCUUGAGUACAGAUGCCGUUGGCGGAAUAUGACAUGUAGUGGUGAAAUACAUAGAGAUGUCAUAGAACACCGAUUGCGAAGGCAGCUGACGGGACUGUAACUGACGCUGAGGCUCGAAAGCGUGGGGAGCAAACAGG
rnacentral:rRNA from 1 species